rnacentral:lncRNA from 1 species
CCCGACCAGAAGCAGCGCAUCACAGGCUCAGACCUGAAAACUCUCCCUAAUGUGCGCUGAGUGCUCCAUAGGCGUCUAUGAAUUCUGUGGCAUCCCUGCGUUUCUCUAUGGAAUCAAAUAACUGUGCAAAUCCAACUAAAAUCUCAUGUUGCACAACUGUUUUCCCACAAACCCACAUGUUUACAGCCCUGGUGAGGGAGCAGCAGCCAAAAGACGUUUAAGGAAACCAACACGACUUCGGGAAACUUGAACGUGGCUCCUGCCUCAACACGCUGGCACCUUCCUGUUGAUUUCAGUCAACUGCAACUUCCCGCAACCACCAGAUUAAUUGAUGGCUCAGGUGAAAUAAAUACUCUGAAAACGACUAAUAUAAAAUUGCUAAUGGGAAAUCAAAUCAUUAAAACGUUUCACUCCAUCAUCAAUGAUUUUUGAGUGUUCUGCGAUAGAAGACGAGCAUCACCACGUGCCACCUCUUCCUCAGAGCCAUCAGUGGCCGCUGCAACUGCAGCCCCUCCGAAGAGCCCUGCACCCUGUACUCUGGGACCCUUUUUACCGAGAGUGUAGAAUUACAUUAUUCUGCAUUUAGAGGGUUCAGUCCUUGACUCUUCGCCCCCUCAGGGGAAAACCUGGCGCCUCCUGCCCGGAUCAGACGAAACUGGACGGAGUGGAGAAGAGGAGAUGAGAGGAGGAGGAAGGGGGACUAAAAAAAACUGAAAAAAAGAGAUAGAAACCGCUGAAGGACGGAGACAGAGAGGAUGAAGAGUGUCAUUCACUAAGCGUAAAGGCAGCGAGAAACAGGUAAAGACCCAUAUUAUUAUUAUUAUUAUUAUUAUUAUUAUUAUUAUUAUUAUUAUUAUUAUUAUUAUUAUUAUUAUUAUUAUUAUUAUUAUUAUUAUUAUUAUUAUUAUUAUUAUUAUUAUCAACCUCGUUUAUUUUCUUCCACGCAAAAAGCUGCCAUGCUUCAGAUUCCUCGCCUUCAUCGUUUCCCUCUUUUCCUUUUAAAUGCAAACCGAUUCAUUUCGCUCUCUCCAGCUGUUUUCCUCAGAUAAACCCAUCGAUUAGACAUCAGUUAGAUUCGUAGCCAGCGCUUUAUUGAGUAAGUUGGUGAACCUUAAAGUGAAUUACAGGAACUGCUCUGCUCCUCCGGUGAACUAUUUAGGUGAAUCUAAUUGAGUUUGAUAAAGACCAGCUAUUUUAUUUAUUCUAAUCGCGGCUUUAUUGGGAAACUAGCUUGUACAUUAUUAUUAUUAUUAUUAUUAUUAUUAUUAUUAUUAUUAUUAUUAUUAUUAUUAUUAUUAUUAUUAUUAUUAUUAUUAUUAUUAUUAUUGUUAUUGUUAUUAUUAUUAUUAUUAUUAUUAUUAUUAUUAUUAUUAUUAUUAUUAUUAUUAUUAUUAUUAUUAUGUUGGUUGUUGUUGUUAAGUAUCUAAUUGUCCUCUGUUUCUAAGCUAUAUUUUGCAACAGAUGACUACAAACACUUUAAUAUUUUUCGGUCAAUACUCUUUGGCAGUUAAUCAAUAACAUCUGCGA